CCAAAUGGGGACGGGGAUAGACA
rnacentral:piRNA from 1 species